AUGGCGUCGUGGCCUUCUCAAUUUGAUGAUGUCGAUGUCUCUAAUGGCGCCAACUCAAGAGGCAAUAUUUGCGCUUCGUUGGGGUGCUCUACCAAGGUGGUAAGGCAUUUUGUUAUCCAUGGUGUGCAUCCUUGUCGUCAUCACGCCGCCUCACUUGUCUGCAUUCUUCUUUUUCACAAUGUUCUAGGAGUGCUACCCGGUGUACCUGAUGAUAAAUGGUCUAAACCUGCUCAAAAUCUCUAUAAAAUGAACGUGGAUGCAUGCUUCAUGGAAGAUGGAAGCGGAGUCACGUUGGCGGUUCCUCGAAACCACCGGGGUGAUGCUCUUGUUGGGUCAACGACUCUCUUUACGUAUGUGAUUGGUGCCGCUGCAGCGGAAGCUUUGGCGUUGAAAAAUGGUAUGGAGCUAGCGUAUCAAUGGGGAUGCUCCAAUGCCCCGUUCGGCAAUCCACCGGCUCCUAGGAUCUGCGGAGCGACUGUUUGCCCGCUCCAAAACUUUGACCUACAGCUCCUUCCGCUCCCGGAGCGGAGCCAUGAGCCGGCCCACGCCAGACCGUCUCGUAAACAGCAACGUAAAACCGGACAUCCGGCCGCGGCCAAUCGCCCUUAUCCACAUCGCCGCCAUCUGUUCGCGGCUCGUACGUGGGUCCUCGUGCGUUUGGACGGCUGGCGAUUCGUCAUCGGACGGCCCCCGCGGCCCCUUCGGGACCUUUCCACGCGGCUAGCCGGGCGGGACCCGGCUCUUUCUUCGCUCCCACGCCGUCGAGUCCGCUCGCGGCUGCGGCGUGGCGGGCACGGAUUGCCCCGCGCGGUGCAGCGUCGCGGCACAGGGGGGCGCGGGUCAUCAUGCCCGUACACCUACGUCUUUUUUCAGAAAAGACCCAGAGGAAUACUCGAGGGCGGGCAGCGGGUUGGUGAUUAUGCGGGCGCAGUAGCAACAAGAGGCCAAGCAAGGGAGGGACGGCAUGACCACGACUGCGGAUCUGCUCCGCCGCUAGCCUGCUACCUCGCCGCCGGCCGAUCCCCCCACCGUCCUCCAGCGCCCCGCCCCCUCCUCCAUGGUGAGACCUUGGCUGACUGA
rnacentral:rRNA from 1 species